UCUGGUUGAUCCUGCCAGUAGUCAUAUGCUUGUCUCAAAGAUUAAGCCAUGCAUGUCUAAGUAUAAGCAAUUUAUACAGUGAAACUGCGAAUGGCUCAUUAAAUCAGUUAUCGUUUAUUUGAUAGUUCCUUUACUACAUGGUAUAACUGUGGUAAUUCUAGAGCUAAUACAUGCUUAAAAUCUCGACCCUUUGGAAGAGAUGUAUUUAUUAGAUAAAAAAUCAAUGUCUUCGGACUCUUUGAUGAUUCAUAAUAACUUUUCGAAUCGCAUGGCCUUGUGCUGGCGAUGGUUCAUUCAAAUUUCUGCCCUAUCAACUUUCGAUGGUAGGAUAGUGGCCUACCAUGGUUUCAACGGGUAACGGGGAAUAAGGGUUCGAUUCCGGAGAGGGAGCCUGAGAAACGGCUACCACAUCCAAGGAAGGCAGCAGGCGCGCAAAUUACCCAAUCCUAAUUCAGGGAGGUAGUGACAAUAAAUAACGAUACAGGGCCCAUUCGGGUCUUGUAAUUGGAAUGAGUACAAUGUAAAUACCUUAACGAGGAACAAUUGGAGGGCAAGUCUGGUGCCAGCAGCCGCGGUAAUUCCAGCUCCAAUAGCGUAUAUUAAAGUUGUUGCAGUUAAAAAGCUCGUAGUUGAACUUUGGGCCCGGUUGGCCGGUCCGAUUUUUUCGUGUACUGGAUUUCCAACGGGGCCUUUCCUUCUGGCUAACCUUGAGUCCUUGUGGCUCUUGGCGAACCAGGACUUUUACUUUGAAAAAAUUAGAGUGUUCAAAGCAGGCGUAUUGCUCGAAUAUAUUAGCAUGGAAUAAUAGAAUAGGACGUUUGGUUCUAUUUUGUUGGUUUCUAGGACCAUCGUAAUGAUUAAUAGGGACGGUCGGGGGCAUCAGUAUUCAAUUGUCAGAGGUGAAAUUCUUGGAUUUAUUGAAGACUAACUACUGCGAAAGCAUUUGCCAAGGACGUUUUCAUUAAUCAAGAACGAAAGUUAGGGGAUCGAAGAUGAUCAGAUACCGUCGUAGUCUUAACCAUAAACUAUGCCGACUAGGGAUCGGGU
rnacentral:rRNA from 1 species